rnacentral:rRNA from 1 species
AUUGAACGCUGGCGGCGGGCCUAACACAUGCAAGUAGAACGAGAGGAGGAAGGGUGGGCAAGGGCUGGGAAACUGGCUGAUGGAGGGAGAUAACUACUGGAAACGGUGGCUAAUACCGCAUACCAUCGGAUGUGCCCAGAUGGGAUUGGCUAGUGGGUGGGGUAAAGGCUCACCUAGGCGACGAUCCCUAGCUGGGCUGAGAGGAUGACCGGCCACACUGGAACUGAGACACGGCCCAGACUCCUACGGGAGGCAGCAGUGGGGAAUAUUGGACAAUGGGCGCAAGCCUGAUGCAGCCAUGCCGCGUGUAUGAAGAAGGCCUUCGGGUUGUAAAGCACUUUUAUCGGGGAGGCGUUACCUGCACAGAAAGCACCGGCUAACUCCGUGCCAGCAGCCGCGGUAAUAC